AGAUUUGGAAGCGGGCACACAUUGCUAAGAGUUCUCCAAAAUAAACUUGAAUUUAGCCUUAGAGAACUCAUUAGAAGGACCUGGGAUGGCUACAGGAAUCCUUCCAUUUGAAGAAACAAGGCUGGCCACUUGCUCGUUUAUUUUGUGGAAUCGGCAACGACUAGUGGAGGUGGUGCAGCAGCCCCAUUCCUGAGGUCCUCAUCUGUGGAGCCGCGUUCUGUGGAGGAAGGUGCAGGAGUGAGCCCCACUGCCCUCGCCAGGCUGGGCUCAAGCUCCUGAGCCGCUGCUGCAUGGGGAAGAGAUGGAGCCGCGGGCACGGCCUCCUCCACCGGACCCUCCGAGGGACCUGUGGUGAGACCCCAACACGUGCUGAUUGAGCAGGACCUCUGAGGACUUCCUAAAGUAAGAAGCGAAAAGAACUCUAAUCCUGGGGCUGAUUUCCAGAGCAUCCCACAUUCAUCGUCAUGGAAAUAAUUUGUCAAGAGAGCUUUGUUCCUAUUUUGACACUGGAAGGAUUAGUUCGCUAGGCUUUUCUCAAGUGCUCAACAGCGAUCUGAGAAUUCAGCUCUUUUAUAACCACCAUUUCUGUGUGCAACAUGUGAAGAAUCAUGCUCCUGUUUCUAAAGAAGAAGAAGUGGACAGGGAAGUAUCUGGCAACUGGUAAAUGAGCCAUGUUAUAGAAAUAACAUGUAUCUGUCUAAGUUGACACCACCUUGCUUGGAAUAUACUUCUGGAGAUGCUUCCUAAAAAUCUAUGUGCUAAGCUUCUGGAAGUGCCUGUUCAUACUGUGUUUUUUUGGAGCUAUUUAGAGAUAUCUUUAGAAUUGAAUUAUGUUCUCUUGAAUUUCAUCCUUUGGCAGCUGCCCUUCCUUCAGAAAUCUUAAUCAUGGAGACGUUUGUGAAAUUUUUGUGUCAGCAAAGUCUGCGCAAACUCAUUUAAUCAGUGAAGGGAAUGGUGGUAGAAAAUUUUCAGUGACUGCUCCAGUGAGGAAAUGCUAGUUGGUUGGCUGUGUUCCAGUUCUGCUUAAGUGCAAUGUAUCAGACGCUGAAGGUACAUAACCAAGGGAAGCCAAAGAACUUAAAAUCUAAGUUACCCUUAUGGAUGGUUUUCUUUCUUUGAUCUUUCUCUAGUCUUUGGUUACCAGGUCUUCUAAAGAUCAGUGCCGUCCUUUGGGGUGUGAAUUAGGAUGAGAAAAAUUUUCCUUAGCAACUGAAAUAUAUUGUUUAUACUUACAUUUGUUCUGUUUAAAAAUAUUACAGUUCUUCUUUAAUGGAAACCCAUCCACUUUGAGAAAGACUCCUGAGCUGUGAGAAACCUCAUCCUCUUAUAUAACUCCUUUGACAACAUUUCUGCUUACAAUUUUUCCUACAUAUAUGUCUCUGAAGAGUUGUCAUCAUCAAAGACUUGAUAUUUAUUAGCUGAUGGCAUUUUUCUCUAUGUUUUGUUUAAAAGGACAAAGUUUUUCUUCAGUGGGGCUGAGGAAACCAAGUUUAUUCAUCAAGGCCAUUCAGGAUCCUCUCACUGGAUAUGCAAGCUUCUGCCACUUAGGGAAACUACUGCUUAGUGUCAAUCCAUAUGAAAGAUGCCUCAUUUUUCCAUCUCUCAGCCUCUCAGGAAACAUCUUGACCUUCUCAGACUGGAGAAAAUUGUUUCCCUGGAAUACUGGAGAGCUCUGAAACAUGUUUCUAAUGAAGUCCUACUGGAGCAGAAUCUACCUACCAUGGAGACAUGGUUAAGGUUGAUAUUCCUUUAAGGAAGAUACUUUGUCAUGUGUGGAAAAAUGCGCCUGUUGGUUUUUCUGUGGAAUUUCCUGUUCUCUUCCAAUUGUUUUGUUUUGUUUUUUUUUUUUUUGAAAAAGGUACAGUCCAAAAAUGAUCAAACUGAUCCCAAAUAUUCUGCUUUAGUGUGUGAUUAAAGACACACAUUUCCCUGAAGAGCCAUGUCCCAAGAUGCCAAGUGCAGAAGGCAUUAAUCUGCUGUACCUUAUCUCUGUGAGAAGCCAUCUUCACAGCAGAAAGGAAGAGAGCUCUAUCCUCUAGAGAUAAAUGGCAUCUUGUAAAUAGUGUGAGGCACUCAGAUACUGCGAUUAUGAGCUCUACAGAAAUGCCUAUAAAUAAUGCUAAGAGAUGCCCAGAUACUACAGCUUCCUUAUGAAAAUAAACAAACCACAUAAAAUUUGACAAAGUGUAAAUGUCUCUUCCAUAUGAGGACACUUUCCUUUCCUUUUCACUUUCUAUUAUGAGAGCAGGACCCACCAUGCAGGGACUCAGUCUUCAUCCUUGACUUGUAGAUGAAGAACAUCACCAUGUGAGAUAGCAUGGAAGCUUCAGGGAUGGAAGCCUCUUACAAG